UGGAGACUUUUAUCUCCCUCACCAACUUCAAACAUCAGCUAUCCGAGCAGCUAACCGAUCGCUGCAGCUGUACAUAGUCUAUAGGUAAAUAGCUCACCCUUUUUCACCUACCUCAUUCCCAUACUGUUUUUAUACUGUUUAUAUUUAUUUACUUUUCUGCUCUUUUGCACACCAAUAUCUCUACCUGUACAUGCCCAUCUGAUCAUUUAUCACUCCAGUGUUAAUCUGCAAAAUUGUAUUAUUCGCCUACCUCCUCAUGCCUUUUGCACACAUUGUAUAUAGACUGCCCAUUUUUUUUCUACUGUGUUAUUGACUUGCUAAUUGUUUACUCCAUGUGUAACUCUGUGUUGUCUGUUCACACUGCUAUGCUUUAUCUUGGCCAGGUCGCAGUUGCAAAUGAGAACUUGUUCUCAACUAGCCUACCUGGUUAAAUAAAGGUGAAAUAAAAAAAUAAAAAAUACAUUACAUUUACAGUACACCUUAAAACCCAUCUGUAAGAUAAUUGUCACAGGUGAUCAGAGCAUGCUAGAUAGCUAACGAUCACAGGUGAUCAGAGCGUGCUAGAUAGCUAACGAUCACAGGUGAUCAGAGCGUGCUAGAUAGCUAACGAUCACAGGUGAUCAGAGCGUGCUAGAUAGCUAACGAUCACAGGUGAUCAGAGCGUGCUAGAUAGCUAACGAUCACAGGUGAUCAGAGCGUGCUAGAUAGCUAACGAUCACAGGUGAUCAGAGCGUGCUAGAUAGCUAACGAUCACAGGUGAUCAGAGCGUGCUAGAUAGCUAACGAUCACAGGUGAUCAGAGCGUGCUAGAUAGCUAACGAUCACAGGUGAUCAGAGCGUGCUAGAUAGCUAACGAUCACAGGUGAUCAGAGCGUGCUAGAUAGCUAACGAUCACAGGUGAUCAGAGCGUGCUAGAUAGCUAACGAUCACAGGUGAUCAGAGCGUGCUAGAUAGCUAACGAUCACAGGUGAUCAGAGCGUGCUAGAUAGCUAACGAUCACAGGUGAUCAGAGCGUGCUAGAUAGCUAAC